CAGCCGCCACGGUAAUACGUAGGUGGCAAGCGUUGUCCGGAAUUAUUGGGCGUAAAGGGCUCGCAGGCGGUUUCUUAAGUCUGAUGUGAAAGCCCCCGGCUCAACCGGGGAGGGUCAUUGGAAACUGGGAAACUUGAGUGCAGAAGAGGAGAGUGGAAUUCCACGUGUAGCGGUGAAAUGCGUAGAGAUGUGGAGAAACACCAGUGGCGAAGGCGACUCUCUGGUCUGUAACUGACGCUGAGGAGCGAAAGCGUGGGGAGCGAACAGGAUUAGAUACCCCCGUAGUCCCUGUCUCUUAUAC
rnacentral:rRNA from 1 species